GUCUCCUUAUGGAUUUUAGCCUGGCCCGGAGCCCAGGGCCCAAGUGCCAGGGUGGAGGGUCAAGCAAAGGGAAGGAUCAGGGGACUCCAGCAGCAAACCCAACCCUGCUCCUGACAGGCUGCGUGACCUGAGACAGCCCCUUCCUUGGCCAGAGCUUUUGUUUCCAGGGUCUUAUGUAUCCCAGGAAGGCUACCAUCAGCGAUGGCGUUAAACUUCUGAUCCUCAUGCCUUCAUCUCCCAGUCCUAGGCUCCCAGGAUGGCUUGACCAGCAGCCCGCCCGCCAGGCUACAUGGCUGGACUUUUGUGUCUGUACACAGCUCCUGCCUGAAUCUAGAGCCAACCCUGCAGCGGGGCUUCUUGUGGACUGGGUGUCCUCUGGUCCCGGCUCACCUCAUUGCUUCUGGCAAUGACUCCGGUGGCUGCGGUGACCAGUUGGACGAGGCCCAGCAGCCGCCCAGACUUAUGUCAAUAGAUCCUCAGUCAGUUCUGUCCCUUUCGGUUUGCGUCUUGCGGUCUUGCAUCUCAGGCCCUCCAGGCUCACUCCAGAACUGUGAUUUUCCUAUGGCUGAGUCACCUCCAGAAAGACAAUAAAGUAGGUGAUUAAAAAGUGCUUCGGCUCCUGGGAUUUCCCAUCUGUUUACAGGAAUCCAGAGCAAAGACAGAAGUUCCUGGUGUGAGUGAAACAGGAGCCUCUGCAGAGGCCCAGGGAGACCAUUCCCUCAGAGUAGGGGGUCCAGAGGGCCUGGCCAGGGCCACCCUGGUAGUGCUCCCCUAGUAGUGCUCCCCGAAGACUGGCCACAUCUCCCUCAGACUGGAGCCCCCUGAGAAGGAGCUGUGUCUCUCUCGUACUGAACUUCCUGAGGAACGAGUCCGGUCUCGUUUUCCUCCCCAAGCCCACUCUAUCGGAGGGCUGCUGGUGCUCUAGCGGUGCUCCUGGACCUGACUGGAACAGGGCGCAUGUCUCUGUCUUCACAUGAGGA